GAUGAACGCUGGCGGCGUGCCUAAUACAUGCAAGUCGAGCGAACGGACGAGAAGCUUGCUUUUCUGAUGUUAGCGGCGGACGGGUGAGUAACACGUGGAUAACCUACCUAUAAGACUGGGAUAACUUCGGGAAACCGGAGCUAAUACCGGAUAAUAUUUUGAACCGCAUGGUUCAAAAGUGAAAGACGGUCUUGCUGUCACUUAUAGAUGGAUCCGCGCUGCAUUAGCUAGUUGGUAAGGUAACGGCUUACCAAGGCAACGAUGCAUAGCCGACCUGAGAGGGUGAUCGGCCACACUGGAACUGAGACACGGUCCAGACUCCUACGGGAGGCAGCAGUAGGGAAUCUUCCGCAAUGGGCGAAAGCCUGACGGAGCAACGCCGCGUGAGUGAUGAAGGUCUUCGGAUCGUAAAACUCUGAUAUUAGGGAAGAACAUAUGUGUAAGUAACUGUGCACAUCUUGACGGUACCUAAUCAGAAAGCCACGGCUAACUACGUG
rnacentral:rRNA from 1 species